rnacentral:lncRNA from 10 species
AAGCAAUCUACAAAUUCAACGCAAUUCCCAUCAAAAUACCACCAUCAUUCUUCACAGAUGUAGAAAAAAAAAUUCUAAAAUUCAUAUGGAACCAAAGAAGAGCCCACAUAGCCAAAGCAAGACUAAGCAAAAAGAACAAAUCUGGAGGCAUCACAUUACCUGGUUUCAAACUAUACUACAAGGCCAUAGUCACCAAAACAACAUGGUACUGAUACAAAAACAGGCACAUAGACCAAUGGAAGGACUAGAGAACACAAAAAUAAACCCAAAUACUUACAGCCAACUGAUCUUUGACAAAGCAAACAAAAACAAGAAUUGGGGAAAGGACACCCUUUUCCACAAAUUGUGAUGGGAUAAUUGGCUAGUCACAUGUAGAAGAAUGAAACUGGAUCCUCCAUCUUAUUAUACAUAACCAUCACAUAUGAUGUGUACAGUAAGUCCAACCUGGGUUCAAAUUCUAAUUCCACUCCUUAGAGUCUGACCUAAGCAAAAAAAAAAAUCACCAAGCUUUUAGUCUGUUUUUCAUCAACUUUCACAUUCGAUAGUACCCUUUGUUCAAAAGAGGUUUUAAAAUCUUGAACUAUAUUCCCAGGCGACAUGAAACCCUCUUAAAUGUAUUAAAAUCUUAUAAGACAAAAAAAAGCCCGUAAUGAGAACUCUCAAGAGUACCAUGGUAAUAUAAUAUGGUAAUAGAUAAUAAAAGAGUCAUGAUCAUUAAUAAUAAAUAUAAUACUUCUACUUCAACUGAGGAAUGGAAAACUAAACAUCAUAUGUUCUCAUAUGUCCCUAAGCUAUGAGGAUGCAAAGGCAUAAGAAUGAUACAAUGGACUUUGGGGACUUUCAGGGAAAGGGUGAGAAGGGCGUAAGGGAUAAAAGACUACAAAUUGGGUUCAGUAUAUACUGCUCGGGUGAUGGGUGCACCAAAAUCUUAAAAAUCGCCAAAGAACUUAUGUAACUAAAUACCACCUGUUCCCCAAAAAACUAUGGAAAUUAAAAAUUAAAAAAUAAGUAUAAUUUCUGCUUUAGCGAUAUUAACUAUUCAGUACACAAUAAGUGAGUUUAGCAAUUCAGUGAUUUCUGACUGUUGGGUCUUUCAGAAUAGUGACUCACCUUUGAACACACUAGUUUGUAAAUUCCCCCAUAAAUUAUGAACACAAUAGGCACAGUAGUUCAUACAGAUUGUGAUUUCCCUAUAAUAGUCUUCAUAAAGACACGUCUGUAUUUCUAUUAGUUUGUUAAUAGAAAUCUACCUAAUCUGGUUUAGCAGUUGAGUUUCCUGCUUUUCAGGAACUCUAUGUCUAGUCAGUAUUUACAGUGACCAUUUGGCUAAGAGAGAAACCUCUUGUUUCUCUGAUGAUUCAAUCUAGUGACUUAUUUAGGAUAACAAUUGGAGAAUAUCGUAGCUAAAUACCAUCUCACUGAGGCUCUUUUAGGUGACCAGAGAAGUAGUAAGGGAAAGAGGGCAAAUCACUUACACUGUUCACCCUUUGAGAAUUUUUACCUAAGGGUAUGUGUUAGUUGUCUAUUGCUGUAAAACAAAUUGCCUCCAAAACUGUGGGUCAGAAAUUUGGGAGCAGCUUAACUGGGAGUCCUGGUUUGAGGCUCUCAUGGCAUUGCAGUCAAGAUUUCAGGUGGCAUUCAGUCAUCUGAA